AAGGUUGAAAAAAACCAUUACGAAGUGAAGACAUAGCACUUAUGUUAGAUUUAGAAGAGUAUUGACAUCAUGGACUUUGCCCUACUCAUUGGACUUUUCACCAUUAGGCUGGUGUCCACAAGACUGGAAUCUGAGAUAGAGCUCUGCAUGCCACUGUUGCCAAAGUCGCUAAUGGAUAAAAAGCAGUGUCUAGAGUAUUGAAUAAUGCAAGUCAGUAAGAAGAGAUUUCACACUUCAUCGGAACGCAGAGGAUGCUUGUUGAACAUUGAUAUUGCAAUUCACUUGCAUCUGUAAAUAAUGAUCCCAAAGGAACCAUGAACUGUGAAGUCAUUGAUGCACUAGAAAGCCUGCAACACAUUAUCAACGUGUAUGAUCAUCUCUCCAGGAACUUCCUUACACCUUCACUUCUCGCCUUCAAAUAACCACCAAACAUUAAACAGACAAUUGUGUAGCCUCUACAAAAUACUCUGUAGAAAUUUAUGAAGACUCCUUCCAAAUGCACAACCACUGUGAUCUGGAACGACAAGGGCAGCAGGUACUUGGGCAGAUCACCACCAGCAAGUUCUCCUCCAAGCAACUCACCAUCCUGACU